GGCGACUCUUCAGGACUUGCCCUUUCUAAUAAUACCUGUUGAACAUAAUAAAAAAUAAGCACGGGAAAAAUACACACAUAGACAGGCAUAUUGGAAUAAUUGAACACAUCACAGUACGUAAGCAUCAAGUGAUUAUUUCAAACUAGUCGUAUCGACAUUCUUUCUAAUAUGUAAGUACAUCGACAAGGGACUUACCAGGAAGCAACAAUAAAGUAGAAACAGAAAGAAAGCCCAACACACCAAAAUAUGCUAGAUAUUUUUCGUAAACCUCAAAGGAAAAGCCCGAGAACUCUUGAAUGUACGUAAUUUCUUUUUGUAUUUAAAAGUAACUGAUGCUUUGUUUAAGAGAGUAGUAGUGGUAAUUGUAAUUGUAAAACUUAUCUGUUAAUAAAAAAGGAGGGAGUUUAUCUAGUAGAGGGGGUAUUGUUGUAUAAAAGGAAAAAUAUAUUUAGAGAACCAAUUUCAAGAAUUAAAGGGAGUUGAAAAUAUCUGUCAAGAAUCAAUUAAGGAAAGGAAAAUUAAUUUGCUUCUAUAUUUUCCAUAAGGGAACAAGUUAAAAUUUGGUAAUUCCAUAAUCAAGGCAGCAGUAUCUAAUAAACAUUUAUAGGAAAUUAAUGAAUGAUUUAAUCAAUUAUCUACUUACCAUAAAUAAGCAUUGAGUCAAUCAGUCAUGACUCUCAAUUAAGGAUAGUACAUAAAUCAAUCAACUAUAAAUUAUCAAUUAGGCACAGUCAAGAAUUUUAAAUCCGCCACAAAAGGAAAAUAAUAGUACCACAAUUACAAUAAGGCGAUUACAAAAUAAUACAAAAAUACCGAAAUAGAUCAUAAAUAGAGAGGUAUCAAAUCUGUCGCAAUUAAUCAAGAGGUUAGCAAACAAACAAUCAACAGUGAUUAGUAAUAAGCAUCUUGUUAGAAAAUCAAAACGAAGUCGCAAAAAAAGUUGUGAUUUUCUUACACAUGUUAACUAAGAGGCAUAAAAAAUGUCAAGUUGCAAGAAAUUAGGCGUUUUCACAUAUAACAGACCCAGAGAUGAACAUGAACAAAUAAUUACAUGAAUUGAAUCACAAUCCGAAGUUAAAUGUCACAAAAAUUUAAUGUAAACAAACAAAUAUGCAAUUUGAGUUUAGGGAGAUCAAACCGGAUAAUAGUUAAAUCUGGGGGCGGUGCGCUGCUAGUUAGUCAUCGUUGGUGUUUCUCGACUGUUGGAGGUAAAGGCCGAAUCUGAGCGGGGGAAGGCCGAUCGUCGCUGGGGCUGGUUCAUAGAGGGAGUAGGGUCUCGUGGUGGCGUGGAGCGAUGCUGGCGUGCUAGUGCUAUUGUCGCCGAUGGAGGGCUGGUGGUGGCAUUGAAGAAGAAGGAGAUAAGCUGAUCAGCGUGAAUGGAGGGGGUUCGGAGAACCACGGCUGGGACUAGCCAUUGUUGGUGGCACUAAUUUUGGAGAGGGGAUAGAAGAGGAGGGUUAUCGCCGAUGAUGGGGAGAGAGGCAGUGGUAGGAGAGUUUUGAGAGAGAGAAAUAAAGAGAGAGCGUAUGGGGAAGGCAGC
rnacentral:lncRNA from 1 species